AAGGAAUAUAUUAUUGGGCUUCUAACCUGAUAUAGAUGUUAAGUCAUUACUCCUUU
rnacentral:tRNA from 1 species